AAUGCCCCUUGAGGCGUUGCAGCCCAGCCUUCAUUGUUGCGGCUGUGUCAUAAGGUGGCAGAGAGAGAGACUGGUGGUAGUCUGCACUGAGACUCUGCAACACACAGAGGACUCGGAGUGAUUCUCACCACCGACAAG
rnacentral:snoRNA from 1 species